CAAAACGGCAGAGCCCUGACCCACCAGGUAAUUGUAUAUUGAAUACAUCUUGGCUCAAACCAGGGAUGAUUUUGCUUAAAUGAACUAAGGGCAGAACUGCAUGUUGUAAGUCAUAUGAAACAAGACCGGUGCGCUGGGUAAUUAAAGAUGCAAACUAGCAGCGUAAGAUGUUUGCAGACGGAAAGUACAUAUCAUUGACUUUAAAGGGAUGAGACGGGAUGGGGGAAGGACCGUUUCUAUUUAAUGAGUGGAUUUCAGGCUUCUAUAUGGGUAUGAAAAAAAAAGGAAGUCAUUCAAACCUAGCUCUAUUUUUUUUUUCUUUUUAUAUUAGAAGAAGAAAGAUGACAGAUACCGGUUGUCCAGAGCCCAGAACUGCUCUUAUCAUCCUGCAGAUGCACAGAGAGGGGCAAAGAAGACUCAGCUGUUAAACACUACACUGGAAAUGAAGUUUUGAAGUGGGUGCACGUUGACCAGGAGAAAGUGUGCAUUAACUUGAGGGGAAAGGGUCCAGUGAAUUCCAAGAACAGCAGGAGGAGUCUAAAAAGAAGUCGUGUCCUGCUGACGUAUUAAGAAUUUACAGAUGCACUGGGAUGGUGGCUGUAGGGAAGUCGUGAAGUGUAAGGGAGACUGGGUGGGGAGAAGGGUCUUUAACUCUAUGAGGGGGUGCCCAUACACAUUAAUGUAGAGGAGAUAACAUCUUGUUCUGUCUUGGAAAGAGACCACAUUGGUUCAUGGGACUGUCUACUGCCCUGAGGACAAGUGCCCAAUAAAGGCUACUGACAGGCUGACUGCAGCUGGAGAGGGUCACCAAGAUGACUCAGAGGGCACUCUACAGAGUCCUACUGCCCGCACAGGGUCAUUUUGCUGCAGAGUUCAAGAAGACACAGCUGUUGGAUCUGAUGACUGCCUUCACACAGCAGGGACUGUCACUUCAGGUAUCAACCAGACUAUGGAAAAGCUUAAUGAAAUAAUGCACAAAAGACUCAUAAGCAUCAGUGAAAUCUCUCAAGUAACCAAGCACCUUAUUUAUGAAAGAGCUCAGAUACUAUUACUUCUUAAGCCUUCGUCUGGAGGAAUCCAUCAAUGUCCUUUUUCAAACUCUAAAAACACUCUCCAAAGAAGAAAGCUUUCCUAGAAAGCAAUGAAUGAAAAUUCUGAAAUAUGUAUAAUAAAAGGAGAAUUCACUUGUAGUUACCUGUUUUC
rnacentral:lncRNA from 1 species